GAAGGAAGCUUUGGGAAACAAAGGCGGGGGACAGUUGGCAGCUCAAACUGACAACCCUUUCUACAGCCUUGGAGCUUCCCAGUGAUGAGAUUGAAAUCAAUGACUCCACGUCACAAGGAAUAAGCACUCAGCCCCCCAGUUUCUGAGAUCCUCUUUGACUCAGCAUCUAUUGUGGCUGGAAAGGAAGAAGCCUCGCAUUCCAGAGGGCCAUGGAGACUCAGGCAGGCAGCACGUGGACGGGCCAUGAGGAAUACUCAACGUGCAUUUUGUUCCUUCUUGCUUGGUCUUUCCUUUUCUGUUAUGUGUGUGGGUUUGGGGAAGGGAGCACAUAUGGGUAGGAUGUGUGAUCAGCUGUUAUCAAUCAAUUUAAGAAAAUCCCUUGUGGUUUGACAUUUUCUAAGCCUGGCCUGGUCUUCCUGUUGGACCUCAUCCAAUCUCCAGUGGAUAGCUCUUUGUCUCAAAAGUGGAUCCUGAUGAACAGAGAUUGUCAUGAUACUUUAUGUUUCACAAUCUUGGGUGAUGCUGAUUGGCAUAUGUUUAUACUAACUGCAUCCUCUCCCAUGGGUGAACUGAAUCAGUCAAGUGCAAGGUGAGAAGACUGGGGAAAGAUUUAAGCACAUUGCCACAUUGCAAAGCUAGAAAUGAAAUGAGAUGGAGUUCAAAGGUAGGUCUUUUUGACCCAAAGUUUCUGACUCUCAUUCCCAAAUGAAGC